UAUUUAAAAGUUGUUGCAGUUAAAAAGCUCGUAGUUGGAUUUGUGGCGGUUCCUGUGGUCCGAUUUCGGUACUUUCGGGGACUGCCAUCCUUGGGUGGAUCCUGUGUGGCAUUAGGUUGUCGCGCAGGGGAUGCCCAUCGUUUACUGUGAAAAAAUUAGAGUGUUCAAAGCAGGCUUACGCCGUUGAAUAUAUUAGCAUGGAAUAAUGAGAUAGGACCUUGGUACUAUUUUGUUGGUUUGCGCACCGAGGUAAUGAUUAAUAGGGACAGUUGUGGGUAUUCGUAUUCCAUUGUCAGAGGUGAAAUUCUUGGAUUUCUGGAAGACGAACUAAUGCGAAAGCAUUUACCAAGGAUGUUUUCAUUAAUCAAGAACGAAAGUUAGGGGAUCGAAGAUGAUUAGAUACCAUCGUAGUCGUCAUACCUGUUGUCCUGAGGAA
rnacentral:rRNA from 1 species